rnacentral:rRNA from 1 species
CGGGGGAAGGGGGGGAGGACGUCAAUUCAUCAUGCCCUUUAUGACCUGGGCUACACACGUGAUACAAUGGGAAGUACAACGAGUUGCGAAGUCGCGAGGCUAAGCUAUUUUCUUAAAGCUUAUUUCAGUUCGGAUUGUAGGCUGCAACUCGCCUACAUGAAGCCGGAAUCGCUAGUAAUCGCGGAUCAGCACGCCGCGGUGAAUACGUUCCCGGGCCUUGUACAC